CCUUUUCACUUCAUACCUCCCAUGGAUCGGAGAAGGCAGUAUCGUUCAGUUCGGGGAGAGAGGUUCAGAUUAAUGACCUGAAGAUAAUAUGGACUUUCGCAUGGAAAGCUCUUCUUCGGAGAUAAUGACGAGGAGAAGCUGUGAGCUGCGAAUGCGCCAUGUUAGAUGCUCGCGGGUUCAUCCAUUCGCUGCCAGCAAAGGGAGAAGCCUGCACUUAGAUCCUUCAGUUG
rnacentral:lncRNA from 1 species